CGUCUAUCAUUCUUUAAUUUCUUAGGAUGUAGCAGUAUUUUUUUUUCAAUAUCGUGGAUAGAGUACUUUGGAUUCUUUCUUUUUGUCAUAUGCCUCCACACUUCCAAACUAUAUUAAAAAUUUAUCCCCCUUUUCCCCAAUGAUAUUUAUUAGUGUAACACACAAUUUUUGUUGAUAUUUUGAACGUGAAUGGGUAAUACAUGGCAACACCUAAUAUGUAAUGAG
rnacentral:lncRNA from 1 species